UAGGGAAUCUUCGGCAAUGGACGAAAGUCUGACCGAGCAACGCCGCGUGAGUGAAGAAGGUUUUCGGAUCGUAAAACUCUGUUGUUAGAGAAGAACAAGGACGUUAGUAACUGAACGUCCCCUGACGGUAUCUAACCAGAAAGCCACGGCUAACUACGUGCCAGCAGCCGCGGUAAUACGUAGGUGGCAAGCGUUGUCCGGAUUUAUUGGGCGUAAAGCGAGCGCAGGCGGUUUCUUAAGUCUGAUGUGAAAGCCCCCGGCUCAACCGGGGAGGGUCAUUGGAAACUGGGAGAGUUGAGUGCAGAAGAGGGGAGUGGAAUUCCAUGUGUGGCGGUGAAAUGCGUAGAUAUAUGGAGGAACACCAGUGGCGAAGGCGGCUCUCUGGUCUGUAACUGACGCUGAGGCUCGAAAGCGUGGGGAGCAAACAGG
rnacentral:rRNA from 1 species